AGAGUUUGAUCCUGGCUCAGAACGAACGCUGGCGGCACGCUUAACACAUGCAAGUCGAACGGAAUAUUGUACUUCGGUAUAAUAUUUAGUGGCGGACGGGUGAGUAACACGUGGGAACCUACCCUGUAGCGGGGGAUAACUGCUGGAAACGGCAGCUAAUACCGCAUACGCCCUGAGGGGGAAAGAUUUAUCACUAUAGGAAGGUCCCGCGUCGGAUUAGGUAGUUGGUAGGGUAAAGGCCUACCAAGCCGAUGAUCCGUAGCUGGUCUGAGAGGAUGACCAGCCACACUGGGACUGAGACACGGCCCAGACUCCUACGGGAGGCAGCAGUGGGGAAUCUUAGACAAUGGGGGAAACCCUGAUCUAGCGAUGCCGCGUGGAUGAAGAAGGCCUUCGGGUUGUAAAGUCCUUUCACCUGUGACGAUGAUGACGGUAGCAGGAGAAGAAGCACCGGCAAACUCUGUGCCAGCAGCCGCGGUA
rnacentral:rRNA from 1 species